UAGAUUUGAUCCAAGGAAAGAUAACACUUUAGAACAGUUUCCUUGAAAAAUAUCAAGGAAAGAAGCGUCAAAAGAUAAUGGAUUUCUCCAUUAGGAGAAGAACGAACUUGAAUAAGAUUUAGUUCAUUGGAUGUUAUCAAUUACCCAUAUAUAGGAUAUAUGCUUCUAAGACAAUAUGAUUGUCAAUUAGAAGAUCUUCCA
rnacentral:lncRNA from 1 species